GGGGCUGAUAAGGUUUCUACAUUUUGAUAUUUUAUAUGAGUUUUAGUUGAUUUAUAGCUUCUAUUAUAAUAAUAUUUUAUUCUAUAUUAUUGUGUGAAAAUUACCAUUUAAUUGCAAAAAAUAACAUUGUGGUUUUUUCUAGAAAUUUAGUAACAGCUUAAAUUUUUAGAAUAUUAAAUUGUACCUUUUCCGUAUAUUUUAUUAUCUAUGAGAGAAAUGCUCUAAUUAUAAUUAUUAGUAAUGACACUCAUGUCAUUCCUUAAUUAAUUAAUAAGUAAAGUAGUUCGUCUAUAAUUUGAAAAAUUUGAAUUUAAUAAAUUAACUUUAUAAUAAUAACUUUAUAUUUUUAUCAAUAUGGACGUGGGUUCGAGUCCCACCAGUUCCA
rnacentral:tmRNA from 1 species